UCGAGAGUGAUGGGAGACGACAAACACAGCAUAACAAAAUUGUCGGUUGGUUUUUUUUUUUUGCCUCUGUGAAAUAUCUUGUUCUUCAGUUUCUGUUGCUGAUUUAACUAAUACGUGGAAGAAUAUGGGCUGAUUUUCUGUAUUUUGUUAAGAGGCUUGUUGAAACUCUUCUGGAUCGAAGUCACAUCUGAUCGACGACUCAACCAUACGAAAAGCAAAUAUUCAGAAAUUGGAGUGACGGAGAAAGCAAUGGUGGAAAAGAAAAGACGUUCUUUCGUUUAUCUCCUCAAUAUUUAACAACGUUUCAUAUAGAUGUAUUUAUAUUCAUUUCACACGUAUAGUUGGCAUAAGAGCAUAUAAUCAUGGCCGAUGUCGUUGCGUAUGGUUCAACAAACUUCUGCACAACAUGUGUGACCAACAAUCUGUUGUGCAAGAUUUUGUCGAAAAGGAGGAAAUUGGUGUUCCCAGUGUGAUCAGUAACAUGAAUGUGUAACUUAAACCUAUAGUCAAACAAUAAUUAUUUCGAAUUUCUUAAACCUAAAAAAUAAACAUUUUCUACCUUAGCACAAGUAUGGGAUUGUCGAGUCUGCAUCGGGUACAAUGGAAAGCCAUUGGUAAGAUGUCAACAGCCUCAUCCUCGUCGAGGCCAUCAAGAAGGACUGGGACAACCUUCUUGGAGCAAUCCUUACAGCUCCAAUAAUACCAACCCAUAUCGCUAUCGAUGGCUAAUAUAAUAGCCUUAACAAUACACUUACUAACCUGUUAUUUAUAAUACACGUCAGAAUUUUUAACAAAUCAAUUUUAUUGACAAUGUUCUUCCUAAUGUAUAUUAUUUGCUAU